UAGUGGCGAACGGGUGAGUAACACGUGGNCAAUCUGCCCUGCACUCUGGGACAAGCCCUGGCAAACGGGGUCUAAUACCGGAUACGAGUUUCACAGGCAUCUGUGAUUCUGGAAAGCUCCGGCGGUGCAGGAUGAGCCCGCGGCCUAUCAGCUUGUUGGUGAGGUAACGGCUCACCAAGGCGACAGACGGGUAGCCGGCCUGAGAGGGCAGACCGGCCACACUGGGACUGAGACACGGCCCAGACUCCUACGGGAGGCAGCAGUGGGGAAUAUUGCACAAUGGGCGAAAGCCUGAUGCAGCGACGCCGCGUGAGGGAUGACGGCCUUCGGGUUGUAAACCUCUUUCAGCAGGGAAGAAGCGAGAGUGACGGUACCUGCAGAAGAAGCGCCGGCUAACUACGUGCCAGCAGCCGCGGUAAUACGUAGGGCGCAAGCGUUGUCCGGAAUUAUUGGGCGUAAAGAGCUCGUAGGCGGCUUGUCGCGUCGGUUGUGAAAGCCCGGGGCUUAACCCCGGGUCUGCAGUCGAUACGGGCAGGCUAGAGUUCGGUAGGGGAGAUCGGAAUUCCU
rnacentral:rRNA from 1 species